rnacentral:rRNA from 1 species
GACAGAGGCCUCAAGCGUUAGGCGGAAUCACUGGGCUUAAAGCGUGUGUAGGUGGAUUCCUAAGUGCCCUGUGAAAUCCCACGGCUCAACCGUGGAACUGCUUGGCAUACUGGGAGUCUUGAGCCAUCUAGGGGCAACUGGAACAGACGGUGGAGCGGUGAAAUGCGUAGAUAUCGUCUGGAACGCCAAUGGUGAAGACAGGUUGCUGGGGAUGUGCUGACACUGAGACACGAAAGCCAGGGGAGCAAACGGG